rnacentral:miRNA from 1 species
AGGCAUGGCCAGGUUGAAGCGAGG